rnacentral:rRNA from 1 species
UACAGAGGGUGCAAGCGUUGUUCGGAAUUAUUGGGCGUAAAGCGCGUGUAGGCGGCUAUGUAAGUCGGGCGUGAAAUCCCACGGCUCAACCGUGGAAGUGCACCCGAAACUGCGUAGCUAGAGUCCUGGAGAGGAAGGUGGAAUGCUUGGUGUAGAGGUGAAAUUCGUAGAUAUCAAGCGGAACACCGGUGGCGAAGGCGGCCUUCUGGACAGUGACUGACGCUGAGACGCGAAAGCGUGGGGAGCAAACAGG